AACCCAAACUCGUGUCUGCUCCCAUAGUUCUGGGGGUCCAAGUCCCUGUCACGGCUAAAUGCAACAUCUAUUUUUGUUUCAAAAAUAACUGCAUCUGUACCUUUAAGAUUGGACUUUGAGCCAUGCCAAGGGCCAGGGUGUUACAGCAGAGAAAAGGGGACUGUAAAGGGGUGGGGCAGCAUCCAGGCCUUCCCUUCUGUAUGCAGUCUGCCUCCUUGGGGAGCGGAGUAACAUGGAAGCCUCACAUCACCACACAGUGCCUAGGAACCACCACUCUGAGGAAGCUCCAUCCUCACAGAAGAAGAUCAGGGCUCCCCGGGUCUAUUACCUCAGAAAGACUCCACAAAGGGAAAGUCCUGCCCACACCCUUAUCUGAUCACAUCCUCACUAAAGGGCAAAGCGUUAGCAGGCUGCUGGGUUUGUUUGCUCUGAAUCCCAGCUAACCUCUUCCCCUUUAGGUAAGUUUGGAAAAUCUCUGAGCCUGUUUUCCUUUCUCCUUUUCUUGUAAACAGGCAGUCAGCGGUUACCGCAUCGGCUGGUGCUAACGACCGAACAUAUUAACCCGUGUCUAGUUUUUUGGCACAACACCGGCAUCGAAUCUGCCCUUCCUCGCCGAUACACCUAGGAUGCCCAGUGAUGCUGCCUCAGGCAAUGGUUUAAGCCAUGGUCCAUCCAAGUCUACCAACCGAACACACCUAAGACAGUGGCAGACACCUCAAAGCUGCACACGUCACCAGAGCAGACGCUCCGACCAUCUUGGAGAAACUUAGGUCUGGAAGGCAACAACACAGGUGCCGGCCACAGGAGCUCUAUCUGGGAGCUCCUCAAGACAUUUCUUCUACUAGAGGCCAUCAGAGCACAAGGGUCGGGAAACUCAGGACUGAGACAAGAGAGCCCCUAGGCAAGCUGCAGAUUUUCCUUGCUGGCAGCAGUGUCACUACCUAAGCAAAGGCCCUGUCUGGCUUAGGAGGGCAGAAAAGGUGCAGAGGAAAAUGCCCUGGGAUGCCAGAGGCAGCUCUGGUGACUUCGGGAGUGGGAACAGGCCUAGGGACCCUUUCUCAUACUGUUUCAACUGCACUGAGAACAAUAUACAAACCCUAAAGUUGUGACAACACUAUACUAGGCAAAAAAAAAAAAAAAUCACAAAAGACCUCUCAAAUAGCCCCGGCGUAUAGGAUAUGCAGAGUGGGUGAAGUUAGAGAGGCAGAGAGAUUUGUGGCUGGCAGGGGCUCAGUGUGGGUAAAGGAACACACCUUCAUGGGGUCUCUUUUAAAGGGGGCAAAAUACGUUAAAAUUAGAUUGCGGUGAUGGUUAAGACAGUCCUGUAAAUACUGAAAUACUUUUAAAAAAUGGAACUAUACACUUUCUGAGGUCAAGUGUGUGGUAUGUGAAUUACAUGUCAAUAAAACUGGUAUAAAAAUAGACAGCAAAGGACAGUGGCAGAGAUCACCAAUUUUACUGGAUUCUAGUUAUUAAAGUACUGAAAAAAAUUAAGAUUUUUUUUUAUUGUGUGUGUCUUGUAUACAAGUGUGUAUGUGUGUUUGCAUCACAUGUAUGGCUGGUGCUGGCAGAGGUCAGAGGGCGCAUGGGAUCCCCUGGAACCCAU